rnacentral:tRNA from 1 species
GUACCCUUAGCUCAGUUGAUUAGAGCAGACGGCUCAUAACCGUCCGGUCGAUGGUUCGAGUCCUACGGGGUAUA